CCGACACGCACUCGCAGGCACUUCAUCGAAAUAUAUGAGGUUGAAAAAAAUAAAGACAAAAAAAUAAUAAUUUUUUCAAAACGGUACCUUACGGAAAAGUCGUUACGAUUGGUUUUUCAUAAUUACUCGGUUUCUACUUUUUUUUUUUAAAUAAAUUGUUUCAACUACCUAAUCACUCGAAUCGCACUACUAUUGGACUGUUUGACGAAGUGUGAAAGAAGCUCAAGCCGGAAAAUCGUUCCUCUACGUUAACGCAGACUUCGCCACGCGUUUACUUCCAUUAAAUCUCAUACUAACAGACACACUAACCAGACGAGUCGCUUGCGGAUUCAGGAUCGCACUAUGUCAUUGUUAAGGAAGCCGCAUCGUCUCAAGUCCUGAGCGAGAAACUUCCGGUAUAAGCGUUAAGGGUGGAACUGGGAUAAGGGGUGUAUGUGAAACAGGGAGAAGAGGGAAGAACUUGAGGCAUAUAUCAAUGAAGACUCUCCUUGAAAGGGAGUAAAUCGCUAACCAGUGUAUUCGCCUUAAGGUUGAGAUUCGGUGGAUUUGAAUGUUCCUCCCUUAAACGAAUCGCGGCUGGGGGCCGUAAGAAGUGGGUCGGUAGAACCCAAAACAGUUGACCCUUUAAAGAAGAAAGGUCAGCAGGGGGUGAAAUCGUAUCUGUGGGCCCGUCGUGGUGUUGUCCGCCGGGGGUGGCGGUGGCGGAGGAGGAGGCGGGGUCGGCGGAGGGGGUGGUUGCCAACGGAGGGAUUUCGAAGCCCGGGGCGCUGGCCG